GGUGACAUCAUCGCAGGUCCUGUAAGCACACGGCUCCUGUACAGUCUGCAGGUGGAGGUUUCUCCAAUCCAGGAUCCUCUGCUGAUAUCUUCUAUAUAAGAGAAUUCUCCUGGAUGACCCAUCAACCAUGGAGAGAGACAGGAACAAGAUGGCCGACAGGAUCAUAAACCUCACCCUACAGAUACUCUUCCGGCUUACUGGAGAGGAUUACACAGUAGUGAAGAAGUCCUCUAGUGGGCGCUGUCGGGCCCCUGUGUGUGAAGGAUGGGGAAGAACCCUGAGCCCAAUCCCGGGGCCCCCACCUCACUCCCUGAUACAUGAGGAAAUGGAUGAAC